rnacentral:rRNA from 1 species
GGACGAACGCUGGCGGCGUGCUUAACACAUGCAAGUCGAGCGAUGAAGUUCCUUCGGGAAACGGAUUAGCGGCGGACGGGUGAGUAACACGUGGGUAACCUGCCUCAUAGAGGGGAAUAGCCUUUCGAAAGGAAGAUUAAUACCGCAUAAGAUUGUAAUGCCGCAUGGCAUAGCAAUUAAAGGAGCAAUCCGCUAUGAGAUGGACCCGCGUCGCAUUAGCUAGUUGGUGAGGUAACGGCUCACCAAGGCGACGAUGCGUAGCCGACCUGAGAGGGUGAUCGGCCACAUUGGGACUGAGACACGGCCCAGACUCCUACGGGAGGCAGCAGUGGGGAAUAUUGCACAAUGGGGGAAACCCUGAUGCAGCAACGCCGCGUGAGUGAUGACGGUCUUCGGAUUGUAAAGCUCUGUCUUUAGGGACGAUAAUGACGGUACCUAAGGAGGAAGCCACGGCUAACUACGUG